GUUGUGACUAGCCUACCCUAGCCCCGCUGACCGGACUUUUAACGGCCCGGUCGGCAAUGCUGACUGGAGCCGCCAGGGUCCCUUUUUGACUGGGCGUUCCAGUCGAAAACCAGACACCUGGCAACCCUACUCAGCGCUGAGUCUGGGGCCUUCCGGCCUGGUCAAUAGGUGCUGCCUUUCUCCCCCUCUUCUGUCCUUCCCUCCAGCCCCUCCCCACAUGGUUCAUUUCUCUACCCUGUGACAGGCUGCCACCUCAGGGGCAGGCCUCCUUCUUCCCCGGGGAAGGUAUUACACAACUGGUUUAAUCUCUCCUGCCUGUGGAGAGCUGUCCCCUUGACACCCCAAGGUGACUUGUCAUGACUCCAGACUCCCCCUGACAGCUUUAAUCUCCCUGACACCUUCGCUCCCUCCACUUGGAUCUCAGAGUUAUGGGAACCAACUGCAGGCCCGGCCGGGGGGAAGACACAAAGAACCAAGGCAUGACAUGUGACUCUAAGAUUGGAUGGGCUUCUGAAGUCGACUGGAAAGGAUCCAUUGGAGAUGAUUCAUAUCAGCACUCGGGCCAAGGGAUUGUGGGAUAAAUGACUUCAGGGAACUCAGAAGUGUGCUGAAGAAGAAAAACGUGCAAGUGAUCCUUCUUCCUGAGCAAAGGAAGACAGAAUGCAGAAGAAUCUGCAAGUGAACCACUGGCUAGAGCCCCCCAGACCGGCGGCCGGGACCCAGGCAGUG